GGCCCCAUCGACUAGCGGCCGAGGUCAUCACCCUCUCAAGGUGGAGACACGGGUUCGAAUCCCGUUGGGGCUGCCA
rnacentral:tRNA from 2 species